rnacentral:rRNA from 1 species
UACAGAGGAUGCAAGCGUUUAUCCGGAAUUAUUGGGCGUAAAGAGCUCGUAGGCGGCCAGUUGCGUCCGCUGUGAAAUCCCGGGGCUUAACCCCGGGCGUGCAGUGGAUACGGGCUGGCUAGAGGCAGGCAGGGGAGAACGGAAUUCCCGGUGUAGCGGUGAAAUGCGCAGAUAUCGGGGAGGAACACCGGUGGCGAAGGCGGUUCUCUGGGCCUGUACUGACGCUGAGGAGCGAAAAGCGUGGGGGAGCAAACAGG